UGGGGAAUAUUGGACAAUGGGCGAAAGCCUGAUCCAGCCAUGCCGCGUGUGUGAAGAAGGCCUUUUGGUUGUAAAGCACUUUAAGCGAGGAGGAGGCUACUUGGAUUAAUACUCUAGGAUAGUGGACGUUACUCGCAGAAUAAGCACCGGCUAACUCUGUGCCAGCAGCCGCGGUAAUACAGAGGGUGCGAGCGUUAAUCGGAUUUACUGGGCGUAAAGCGUGCGUAGGCGGCUUUUUAAGUCGGAUGUGAAAUCCCUGAGCUUAACUUAGGAAUUGCAUUCGAUACUGGGAAGCUAGAGUAUGUGAGAGGAUGGUAGAAUUCCAGGUGUAGCGGUGAAAUGCGUAGAGAUCUGGAGGAAUACCGAUGGCGAAGGCAGCCAUCUGGCCUAAUACUGACGCUGAGGUACGAAAGCAUGGGGAGCAAACAGG
rnacentral:rRNA from 1 species